CUUAGACAGGGAGUAUAUCAGAAUAUACUAAUAAUAUCCUUACUACAAGGAGUUAACUUGCCUGAGCAUACAAUGAUGCUCCUAUUUAAACUGGACUUCAUUAUUGACAGGGUUAUUCCCUGGAGUCCCUACAGCCUUGUACCAAACAAGGUGAAAUCAUUCAGCUGCAUGUGGGGCCAUUCAGACCCCAAAUUCACGCUACUCAACAAUUCAGGCUCCAAACAAAUUGUAAUCUUUAGGCUACGUUUGGUCCGAGUAAAAGUCAGACCCAAAUGAUUCAAAUCCAGGUCUGGAUUUUUAAACCAUCCACACUAUUUGACUGCUGGCAGCUCUAGUAGCCAGCGGGCAAACUGUUAAAAACUAUCAGCAGUGUGAAGGUUAAUUAUGUGACUGCUACUUGCUAGUCUUGCUAGUCAGCUGCGCCUGCUACAUAAAAUAGUUAAAUAAGUUAAUUAAUGUAUAUAUAUAAAAAGCCUAUAGUGGUCAAUAGGAACCCCAUAUUAAUAUAAGGGAGGUUUAAAAUCUCACAAAGAACAGACAUGAAGAUAUAACAGGUACUACACACAAAUUUAAG